rnacentral:lncRNA from 1 species
CUUUGCAAGUCAUUCUAAUAAUUCACUUAUCUGCCUGAGGAGGAGAACCGUGCAUCCUGAGCAGUGGCCACAGAUCUGCUUUUUGACAUCUGCCUUCCUGAUGGGAUGGGAAAAUCCUUCUGCCAGUGGCAUGAGCGAGCACACCACUGCAAGGGGUGCAGAUGGGGGCUGCAGAAGUAACAAAGAAACAGUCAGGCAUCCAAUUGGAUUCCAGUUGCACUACCAGAUUUUGGGGGCCACUCAUGGACUGUACAGAGGCAGCAACCAGCCUGAACAAUUCGUAACUGACUGAUUGGAGGACCUCACCAGGUAUUUUCAGGCAAAAAUUCAUCAGAGAGACAAAAGCCUAUGAAUCAGUGUUAAGUAAUGAACAGUGAAAAGAGGCAAAUAUGUCAGACCUGCUGCAAAUGGAAAGCAGCUGCAAACAGCAGUGCCAGCCAAGUUUUAACUAGUUAAAGUGAUAAGCUCUGACAUUCAGCCUGACUGGUCAACAUCCCUACACCAAAGUCAGCUAAGUGCUUACAGGAAGUUUUGUAAUUGCUGUGAAGUUUUCUCCUGUGGCAUGCCACUGCAUCCAGCACUCCUCCAGGCACAGCAAGUGCAAAUGCAUGCUGCUGAGAACUGAUGUUACUCCCUCCAUCACAUCAGCAAUCCCACCGAAACCCGUGGUGCUGCACCCAUGAGCAAGAUCUGGAAGGAGAAAAUAUAUAAAACAGCUCAAACAUUCCCUUCUGAAGUCAGUGUACUGGAAAUGAAUGAAGAACUGGAAGAGAAGACAAAGAGGUAAAGAGGAGCCCACUGUGCUCUGGGGGAUGGGGGUCCUAUGGGGCACAAGAGGGGGCUGGGAGCCCUGGCAGAGCUCCAGGUGGCAAAUGGGGUCCUGCCAAGGCUGGGGGCAUGCAACUCCAAGAGCAGGGCUCAGUGUGAAGAAGACUGCAGCAGCAGCCCCAUGCAGUGCAGGGAAGCAGCACCCUCUCCUCUCCCUGUCCCUGCACAGCCACCCUGCUGCCCCCUCCCCACAUCCAGACACGGCCGGGUGGUCCGGUGCUGCCCCGCCGUGCACAGCCAGACAAAACGCAUCCGGCUUCCCCGGCACGGCAAUACUAUGGGGGCCUUUUUAACGCCACAGCUCAUAGCUGGAGAUCCCCUAGCAAAGACCUGGAAGCAGCCUGAGUUUCCAUGCAAUAAAGCAGCAGUGAGAAAAGCUCAGAGUAAUUAAGUGGCUGACGCACAGAAGAAGCCGUUACAAAGAUUUGACUAAAUUGCCCAUUCAUUAGUAGCGCGGCAUGGAAGGAGAAUUACAAAUAGACAAUAGAGCCUGCAGUAAUUCAAUCUAACCUUGUACUUACAGAAAACAAUGAGAUAAUGAACAGAAAAAUUACCAGGCACAUAUUGCAUUUUGUGGAAGGGAAGAAGGGGGGGACUGGGCUGGGACUGGGGGGAAGGAGAGGGAAG